rnacentral:rRNA from 1 species
UACGUGAGGGGCAAGCGUUGUCCGGAAUCAUUGGGCGUAAAGCGCGAUGUGAGGCGGCUCGAUAAGUCUGCUGUGAAAGUCCACGGCUCAACCCUGGGAUGCCGGUGGAUACUGUCGAGCUCGAGUCCGGAAGAGGCGAGUGGAAUUCCGUGGUGUAGGCGGUGAAAUGCGCAGAUAUCAAGGAGGAGCACCAAUGGCGAAGGCAGCUCGCUGGGACGUGACUGACGCUGAGACGCGAAGCGUGGGGAGCAAACAGG